rnacentral:lncRNA from 1 species
CUGAGUUAGCUCCAAACUCAAUCCAUAUUCCAUGUAAGAGACUUUAGAUGUUCAAUAUUGAAAUUAUAUGGCAUCAACUUAAAAGAAACU